AGGUCUUGAAACAGCACAGAAACCACUGACCAAAGUAAACUGGUUUUGCCUCCCUAAAUAAAUUGCUGAUUAGUUAAAUCUGGAGUUAGUUUACAGACACAGCACUGAGCAUAUGCAAGACAGGAGGCCUGUCCCCACCCCACCCUCUGCACCCACCCCUGCAAGAAUGGCCCCGGAACCAGGAAUUUUCAGCCUACAGAACUCAAGGAUAGAAAUGUUGCCACCUGAGCUGUUUACAAAGCACGAAGUCCUUCAAUAAGGAAAACAAGGCUUCUAGCUGCAGGAGUAGCGUGAUUGCUGAUUUGAGACUAGCCAAUUAGCCUCUGCCCAACUCCUUAAAUUCCACCCUAAACACUGGAUCUGGGAGAUUGAGAGUCUUGCUCCCUGCCUCUUUGCUGGUUGACUUCUCAAUAAGGCUCUUUCUUUUCUCAAAAAUCUUGUGCCGUAGUGUUGGCAUCUAAGCUUGCCGGGCAGCUAGCCCUCAGAAGCAGUGAUUCUUGCUUUAUAGGGAGGAAAUAGAGUCUUAAAGACUUAGAAUGACCUUUCUAAAAUAUAAGUCUAGUAUGUUCUUAGUUGAAAAUUCUACCAUAGAUGUAUCUUCAAAAUUCUUUGACCUAGCACAUAGAGCACUUGAUGUAGUAACUCUUCAGGACUUGACCAGUGUCAUCUUUCUAACUUUCUGACUUUAGUCCAUUUUCUGACAGCAGAGAACUGCUCACCUUUCCCCAGUUCUCAUACUUCCAAGGCUUUGCACAGACUUUCUUGUUUCUUCUCUUUUUCAUCCUGGCAAGUUUCUGGCUAACCCUUCAACUUGUGACUUAUUUAUCCUCUCAUCUUGAGACUAAUCCCCAAGCCCUCAAAGUCGGAAUAAAUGUCCUUUCUGGGUGAUUUCAAUGACGCUUCUGGGUCUGCCUCUCAAGUGUAGGCAGUGUCUGAUCAGUUAUCUGUCCUCCCAACAAGGUAGUAGCAGCAGAUGGCAAGUGAUGUUUUCUACCUUUGUAUCCCCAAGACUUUGAGUGAAAAAUUAAAAUUUAAAAGUAUAGAAAAGAUAAAAUAGAUUUUUAGCUGCAGGUCAAGAACUUUAUAACAGCUGUCCUGUGGGUGGCAAUCCAAGUCUUAAAGCCAUGAAGUAUUUUAACAAAUGUGAUUUACGAAGUGCUCAUUAGCAGUGGCAGCAGUAGCAUUUUUCCAUUGCCUAUCAUAGCUCAUGCUCUUCACUGUCAGAACUCAACUGUGGCAUUGGUGAGGAGGGUCAUGGGCAAUUAAAAAUGGAAAAAUACUGUGUUCGGUAGAACUCUAUUAGAGGUUCUGAGAAUCACGUGAUGAAAACCUUACUUCCUAACUCAGCAUUUUCUUAGAUUAUUGGCUACAGCACCUCUUUUCUGGGGGAACACCUAUUAAUAUGUCUCAGGUCAUUAGAGUAACCAGAAACAGUGGAGGAAAUGCUGACCUGUAAGAGGGUUCCUUUGGUCCAGCAUCCUCAGGCUCUUUCUCUGUCAUUUGCUGCAUGGAUUCUAAUUUGUUCUUCCUCCAAUUAAUGCUUUCAUUGAGUCACCUCUCUCCUCAAAACCGUCAGUCAAAGCAACCACUUUGGUUCACCCUGCCAGGCUUCAUCCCAUAUUCAACACGAAAACCCCACGUCCCAGGAGACCUGAGUUCUGGACCAACCACGACAACUGGCCAUCCUACUUCAAAUCACUACCACCAUCACUAGAAUAAUUAUGUCCUCUGUAUCUACACAAUUUCUAUAUGAUAACAAUUCAUUGACGAAAGAAGUAAAAACUUAAACUGGCUAUUUUAUAUUACAGACCAAACUGGUUACUUUUCAGUUGAGAUUUAGCUUUUUUCCCCUUAUGUUGAAAUAGAAUAUCAUGUUAAUUUAGUAAAACAAAAAAAUCAUCCAUUAUGUAUCAGCCAUAAUGGCCAACAGCUGAAAUUUCUCAUAUUUACAUACCAUAAUAUUCACAGCCCCAUUAAACAAGAGUAUAGGAACAAACAGUAGGAAUAAAUUCAUUUGGAGAAAGUCAAAUACAUUACUGAAUGUAAGAGAGUCAAAGCUAUGAGAAAAACAUUCUGUUGUGAAAUGGUCAACGUUUCUUUGUCUUAGAUGAGAGAGUGCUGUGUAGAGCUUGGGCAGGAAUGUUGAAAUUCUUGGUUAUAUAUCUUUUGGCUGCCACUAAUUUACUGUGGAAUAACUUUGGACAAAUUAUGCCAUCCAAUUUCAUCUUACAUGGAUCUUCUGUAAUGGAGUGAAGUUCAGCUUUUAGCAAUGUUAUGAGCCCACAUUAAUAAUCUUAUGGGCCUAGUCAUGGAGCUGUAACAAAAAAAAAAAAAGGCUGGGAAAUAUUAAAGUGACACCUUGCAUUAUUAUUUAUGACAGAAUUUAAUAUGCUAGGAUUAUUUCCAUUUCAUUGUGUGAGUGACUAAGACUGUAAGAAGUUACCCAAGUUCAUUCAGCUUGCAUGUGGAGAAAAAAGGGCUAAAACAGAACUUCUAACUUCCCUGAUGUUUUCUUUAAUUUUCAAUUCUUUUCAUUGUUUUCGAGUUUCACUGCAGACUUCUUGGGGUCUUUUGGGAAUCUGACAGCCACGUACCAUCUUGAAAAAACCCCAGGUGCACUGGUCCUCUUACACUCACAAGACCUGGGACAGAGCACAGAGGGAAUGCAGGCCCACGUACCUUAUGCUGCAGAUUUUCCCGUCCCACUCAGUCCUACUCUGCCCAUUUAUGUCAUCAGUACUGUCACCCUUUUAGAGCUCUUCAAAAGAACCCAAGACUGGAAGGCCAGGUUCAUAUUUGGAAUUCUUGGCCUUGACAUUUCUCACUGGAACAUGGUGGCCGGGAGUAGAGC
ensembl:lncRNA